GUUGGGAGCUCAGAGGAUAAAUCCUAUAGCUAGAAGGACAAGUGGGAGCAGAGCCAGUGCAUUCAGUUGAACCAAAUGAGCUUUAAGAGGGGGCACGUGGACCUAGAAGAGAGGAGACACACAUUGUGAGUCAGAGCCAGGAGCCUGCAAGAAGCAGCUGGAAAUUCCCUGGGAGGGGAGGCAGUGAGAGCCUGCAAAAUAAGAGGGAAAAAAAUCCUCUGGGAGUAAUGGCUCAAGGUGAGUUGAAGAACUGUUUUUGAUUGUUUUGCUUAACUCUGAGACAAUAAAACUGCCUAAAAGAGACUGUACGCAUGGCAGCGGAUCAUUUCGGGGGGGAGUAACCCAGCUGGGGGCCCACCAUGUUAGACACUCUGCACACAGAAGAAUAUGCUCCCUCCAUUGUAAGGUUUAUAAUUUUAUUUUAUAGCAGUUAAAUCAAGAAUACAGCACAACUUUAGAUUAAAAUAUCACUCCAAGAUACCAAAUUAACAAAAACCAUUUUUGGGUAGUCAGUUUGGAAGCUCCAGUGGUGAAAUCUGGAUAAGAGUUAUAGUGGUUUUGCUAUUUAAGGGGAGUUACACAUUUUUUUCCCAGUAAUCCGAGAUCUUUCUGGAAAAACCCAUAGUGUAUUUGUUGGAAAAUAAAAGUUCCUCAAAGAAAAACAAAGGAAAAUGCAUCAGUCAUUUAAACAGCUGGAAACAUUUUUGGAAACACCAUAUAAAAGAGGGAGUCAUUUUCAUUUAGAAUCAUGUUUCCUCUUCUAUAAUGAGCAGCACAGUGGCUAUACAAUUCAUUCUCAAGAGACUUGAUCAUGUCCACUGUUUUAUUUCCCAAAGAUUAUUUCCCAAAAUAAAAAACAAUGGAGUUGACAAAUUUUGUUGCAAAAAUCCAAGGCAAGAAUUGAUUAUUAAUUUAUUUGCCCAUUAGCUCUCCUGACACAGACUCCCCCAGUCAGUCACAAUCCUAAAAGCUAAGAAUUUGAGUGUAAAUGAACUCAGGGUACUCUGUUGUGAAAAAAACAUCCUCUCUGUAGAAUGAGAGAAUCAGCCAUAACUCAGGGCGGGGCCACGGGGGCACUUUCCCUCCACCCGGGAAUGGAACUUGGACAUUGUUUGCUGCACUCUGGGCAUCAUUGCUAGUUUGGGGGUGACUAACCUGCUGUCUUAGGGAUGGUGAACGUGCUGCCUCUGUAUCCCGUUACUGCUGCAGCUACUGCCAACCGUGAAGCUACACAGCUCCUGUCUUGGGAGUCCUGCAGAGAAGGGCUAGUGGCAGAGUCCAACCUGCCUGGGAAAGUGGAGACUGUCAGCCUCAUGCUGUAGUCAAACUCCUGUGUCUUUUGUUAGUGCAGCAUGUCCCAACUGACAGCAGUGGCAUGAGUGCUCCUCACUCCUCCCUCACCCUUCCCAAUAAUGUCUCCACUUCCCACCCCUCCAAGGUAAAGCCCUCUUCAACCUCCGUCUCUCGCUGUCCGAUGUGGGUCAAAACCCCAACCGUGGCAGUAUGUGAGCCUUCCAUGGACUAUGACCAUCUAUGGACUAAAUGGGGGGCAUGGUUUGUGUCAUGUGUCAUGUAUGCAAGAAUGUUGUGACACCACAUAUGUGAGCAGUUCAGAGGAAACAUUGGCCACAAUGAAAAUUAGGACCCCACUGUGCUGUGCAAACCCUCCCUUUGUCACAACUAGCUAUUUAAAUGUGUUGAUCCAGAUAGUUAUGGUUAGCUUGAUCCUCUGGAUGAUAUAUGUAAAAAAUUAAUUUUAAUUAUUCCAAUCUUGUAAUUCAAAUCAGCAUUCAGAGGUCUUUGAGUCCCUUGUAAUACUCCAUGAACGGUUGGUAUAAUGUUGUGAUAAUUGGGCCUACAAAAAUUGCGAGCUCAAAUGUAAGAAGUUUACAAACAUUCAUUAAAUGGUACAAUAACCUAUAACAACAAUGUUGAUGGAAAAAGGUAUGAGACAGAAUAACUGAAUUAAUCUAAAUAAAAAGGCCAAGUUGAUAUAGUUCCAGGACUAUGAUGAAAUUAUGCUUGUUUUAAAAAAAAGUGAGAUAUGGAACAAGUUAAUGAGCUGGAAUGAAUGUGUCAGAUAUUAGGUUUAAUCAGUUGACCAAAAAAAAAAAAAAAAAA